UAGAACUCCUAAUGUCAAGCUAUCCUA
rnacentral:piRNA from 1 species